rnacentral:rRNA from 1 species
UCCGUAGGUGAACCUGCGGAAGGAUCAUUCGCACAUAUUUGGAACAAUUCAUUUUGAUUUUUAUGUGGAAUCUAUUCGGGGAUAACCGUUGGAGCUCUUGUAGAUACCAAUGGGUGUUGGGUUGGGCGAAAUGAAAAACAUAUUUGCUCAUUCCCACUGCCGCAUUCAAGCAAAACAAGUUGUUGUUUAAUUGUUAAUUGCAGUUGUCAAGAAGAGCUUACGAUUUUCAACGAUGGAUGUCUCGGUUCGAGCAAUGAUGAAGGGCGCAGCGAAGUGCGAUAAGCAUUGUGAAUUGCAGAACUCCGUGAGCCGACAGGGACUUGAACACAUAUUGUGCUUUUGGGAUAUCCCUAAAAGCAUGCUUGCUUCAGUGUCUAUUAUGCAUUAUUUCAGUAGUUACUUUGUUGUGAACGACAAGCUACUGCAAGUUGCUAUGCCUCAACAUUAUUAGUUCCCAUGCGUAUGCUUUGAGGUUUGUGUGUUGACAAGGCUUUUGUAUACUGGUCAGUCUUCUAAUGCAUGUAUUGCUUGAAACUUGCUGGACUCCUUGUGUUGUGGGUCUUGCUAUCACGAUCUUGUUGAAAAAGCAUUUAAGACAUGAAGUUAGGUUUGCAAACCCGCUGAAUUUAAGCACAUCAAUA